rnacentral:rRNA from 1 species
UACGUAGGGUGCGAGCGUUAAUCGGAAUUACUGGGCGUAAAGCGUGCGUAGGCGGUUCGUUAAGUCAGUUGUGAAAGCCCCGGGCUCAACCUGGGAAUUGCGGUUGAAACUGGCGAACUAGAAUCUGGCAGAGGGGGGUGGAAUUCCACGUGUAGCAGUGAAAUGCGUAGAGAUGUGGAGGAACACCGAUGGCGAAGGCAGCCCCCUGGGCUGAGAUUGACGGCUCAGGCACGAAAGCGUGGGGAGCAAACAGG